GAGAAAAGGAAUUCAGCGAUAUUUCUCCCAUUUGCUUUUGAAAGAAGAGAAAUAUGGCUCUGUUCUGCCCGGCUCACCGGCGUCUGAUGCCAGCUCCCCUUCCCCUUCUGCCAUGAGUGGAAGCUCCCCGAGGGCAUUACCAGAAGCAGAUGCUGGCACCAUGCUUCUUGUACAGCCUGCAGAACCUUGAGCCAAAUAAACCUCUUUUCUUUAUAAGUUA